rnacentral:misc_RNA from 1 species
UUUUUUUUUUCAACGGCCAUGGCUUCUAUGAGGAGCUUCGAUAGAUGGACCAUUAAUCACUUGCAAAUUGUUUCAAAAUCCAGAGGAUUAACGCAAGAACAUUCUAAACAACUCAUCCUCUCAAUACCCACUUCGAGAAGAUGUGCAAUUUUGAUAUCUUCAUUGCCUUUCAGUCUCGUUUCGCUCCCUCCAUUAUCAGAGGCCAGAGAGAGACGCAACAAGAAAGCUAUCCCUCUUGAAGAUUAUCUCACCACCCGUUAGUUACCCAUUACUCCCUUCAUCUCUAAUCUUUCAUGCAUUAUGCUUUUACGGUCCCCUUUUCCAUUUUUUUAUUACCUUCGAGUCCCUUGAGGGGAAAGAAGUUUGGAAAUUUGCUGCUUCUGUGCGUCAAAGAAUACUUUCUUGAUGGUUACUGCAUAAUCUCGCAUUCUUGAAUGCCAAAAUUUAAUGGAACUCAAAAGGAUUUUUGCCUUUCUGUGGCUGCUUGAAGCAAUGCUGCUACUAUGAAUUUUUUUCCCCUCAUUAUGAUUUGGAAAGGUUAAAGAUUGAAAUUUUAGGGGCAAGAAGUUGUAAUAAAUAUUGUCAUGGUUAGAGGAUAAUCUGUUUAUUAAGUUUUUUCUCCAUGCUUUUAUUGUUUCAGAAAUUUCAAACUGAACAUAGGUGGUGUCAGAGUAAAUUCAAGAAUGGAUAAAGAAUACUAGUUGUUUGAACACUAUACUCACUGAUGCUCGAACUAUGAAGUUCUGUUCUGAACUUCUGAUGGGCACUGAUAUUGUGGAUUUUGAAAUUAAAAUUUUGUGUUUCUGCUCUGUUUCCAUUGAAUGCACAGCUGAUGGACUCAAAUAUUAUGAUAUUGUUGAGGGAAAAGGUCCGCUAGCUGAGAAAGGAUCAACCGUUCAGGUUCAUUGCAAUUGAAACUGAACUUAAAUUAUCUUCUUUCAUCUUUCAUUUAAACUAAACAUUUUUUCAUGCCUUUUCCAUUGCAGGUGCACUUUGACUGCAUAUAUAGGGGUAUAACAGCUGUUUCAAGUCGGGAAUCUAAGCUUUUGGCUGGAAAUCGUAUAAUUGCACAGGUCAUUGUGUCCUUUCUCCCAUCGAAAUCUUUGCAUUUCUGUGUGUAUUCUCAUACUUUCAGAUAAGGAUUUACCUUAUCUUACCUCCUGAUCUUAGGCUAUAUUCACUGUCAAUUGUCCAAGUGCUGCAUGGAGUGCAUAUCCUGUUAAAUCCAAUCAUUUACCAUUUUCACCACAUUGUAGCAUGAAUCUUUAACUAAAUGUACAGGUUACUGAUGCUCAUUUUCUCAUGUCUUAAUUAGCCAUAUGAAUUCAAAGUUGGAGCACCUCCGGGCAAAGAACGGAAGAGAGAAUUUGUAGACAACCCAAAUGGUUUAUUCUCUGCACAGGCUGCCCCAAAACCCCCAGCUGCUAUGUACUCAGUAACAGAAGGGAUGAAAGUAGGAGGAAAGAGGACUGUAAUCGUUCCUCCUGAGGCUGGCUACGGCCAAAAAGGAAUGAAUGAAAUCCCACCAGGAAGUACAUUCGAGCUGAACGUUGAGCUUUUGCAAGUAAUGCCACCAGAAGAAAAGUGAGCUCAAUUUUGGUUACAAGAAGAAUUCAUGGUAUAUGAAAUUUGUUCUUCUGCUGUGGCAAAGGCAAUAUAGCACAAUGAUUCUUUUGUUUGGAGAAGCAUUUGCGAAAAUCAUCUGUUGUCAGUUCCCCACUCAUUUAAUUUGAGUCUUUGAUAUGCAUAUUCAUCAAUGUUGCAGCUAUUACAUGAUUGUAGGUUGAGGUUAAUUUUUGAUAUAUAUAAUUUACAUAUUUCACAUUUUGGUUUUAGCUCAAAAUGGAAAAUUAAGUACAUGGUUGAGUACUUGAGCAAAGUGCUUUUUUAAAAAGUGCUUUUUGACCUUUUGACCACAAUUUCAAAUAGAGCCUAGUUUACUUUCACAGCCUUCUAAGCUCCAACAUCUCUGCAAUAGAAGUUCAAAAACCCAAUUUAUCAUAAUCACGUAAAAGUUUAGUCUCCAAAUGUAAGCACCGAAAGUGCAGUUAGCUCUUCAAAUAUAACUUAAUAAACGACCAAAAUUCUAAACCAGCCCGAAGUUCUCAGUUGCUCUACGCCUCUAACCAUUGAAUUUAUAUUUCAUCAAUGUAAUCUAGAAGAUCUUCAGCCUCCUGCCUCAAGGCUACAACUUUUUGCUGCUGUGGACCAACUCUGUUCUCAAUUUCCCAUCCUCCAAGCUUCUUCUCGUAGCAAUCCACUAUUGUUGAGUGUUUCGCCAUCAACCUCUCUUGCAAUUCUCUCUCCUUAGCCACAAGCUCCUCCACCUAUAUAAACAGCCUGAUUAGAUCACUUUGGUGGCACAAGAAAUACCAUAAUGUGAACAUGGUAAGAGAAAAGGAUGGUAGUAUAAAAUCAGCUCAAUGUGCACCAGGCCACAACAGCAUGCACUAUUCUCUCAAGUAAUAACAACCCAUGUCGCAUAUGAUGGUAUAACCAUUUUUUCAGCUAUGCUAUUUCAGACUAUGAUAUUGAGAUACAUUCUAUGAGCAGCUGCAGGAGAUGAUUGCAGAAAUGCUAGCAAGGGCUUCAAUUCUUUUGAAUGCUCUUUCAACAAACCAUCAGCUGUCUUGCGAGUGGUUUUACAUGCUUGGACAUCUCCUAUCCUAGAAAGAUCACGUAGUGAUGCUUCAAUCUUCUCAUGUGUUGCUAGGCAUUGGUUAAUGAUACUCUCAACCUGCUGAAUUGUUGCUCGAACCUCAUCCCACUGCAGUUUUGCCAAAUAAGAAGCAGAUGACUUGGAGAUUGACAAGUCAACAUGCACAUAUACAAUGCAAGCAACAAAAAGAAAGAAAAAUCCAGAAAUCAACAUAAAUGGCUCUCUAAGCAUUGAAAGUUUGUUGAAGCUGUAAUGGAUCUGGAAAUAUUGAUUAUGCUCUGGCACGACGUCAGCCUUUUCCAGCACAAUUACUGGUCGACCAACAACAUCCAGAUGGGAAAUUUUGGACUCUUGCCUCUGCUUUACAGGAAAUGGAGUCGAAACAGAUAAAUCUCUGGACCCCUCAGGCAAAACAACCUUCACAACAAGAUUAUCAAUGACCAAAUCAUUAAUAGGGGAAGAGAAAGAGAUGUUUAGGAAACGUUUCCCCUCUAACUCAAACAAGAAGUCCUGAAGUGGCAAACUAUAUCCAAUGAUAAAAGCUGUUCUCCAACCUCCAAACAUUGGAUAUCUAGGUUCAAUCAAUAACUCUGUCUUUUUAGAAUCAGCCCACAGAUGAGAUGUUGAUAUAUUCCCAAUUUCAUCCCUAUAAUAAAUGGAAUGAGCUCUUGGUGGCAAUUUUGCAACGAAAUGUCUAAUGGCUGAUGCACCUUGAAUGUUGAGUCUGGCCUGGUAAUCAAGCCUGGAAAAUUCACCCUUACUUUUAGCACCUUCAUGUGCAAUAUUGUAAUAUUCUGUGACCUGUACGUUGCCCCAAUGUGAAACUUCAAUCUCUCGUACUAACUCCUGAGCAACAGCAAAUGGCUGAUUGGUUUCAAAAUGUACAACUACAGGUGAGUACGAGAAAGGAGGGAGAUUUUCAUAUGGACCAUAUUUGAUCUCUGAGCCACGAGUCUUAGUAUUCUCAAUUUUUGUAAAUGACUCUAUUCUAGCAUCAGGCAGUUUAACACUGAGAGACUGAACCUUUACUGCAUAAGGAGAGAGAUAGUAUGCACUAUCCUGGAACACCACCAACUGAAUAUCAGCCUGAGUAAUUUUCUCAGGAAACGGUUUUAAAGUAUGGGUAAAUACGGCCAAAACAUCCAAAGUCAAUGUGUCCCCUUCACCUAGUGCCUUGGGUAAUGAUACAGAAUAAACACUCAAUGCAGGAGGCAUUCCUUUUGGAUUGGCAACUUGAAUAGGGAGACUAACUCCAGAAUUUUUUAUUUUUCCUUUUCCUUCAUUUGUUGUUGCCAUCAAAUACGCCAAAUUAUUCGCCUGAAGUUCCAGGAAGGCCAGCAAAACCUCUGAAACCAAACCAGAACCAGCAUUCUCCACCUUUAGGGUUGAAGUGAUGCGUGCGAUUUGCGAAGUCAAAUCAAUCUGCAAUAGUAAACCAGGCCAAGAGUCAGUAAGAAGAAGAAUAAUAAGAAAUCAAGGCAAUGCAAGGAAGAACAAAAGUAUAUCAAAAGUACAGAAAACAGUAAUGCACGACUAAGAUCAAUUUUGAAUCUCAACAUAGAAGAACAUUCAGACAACAAAGAAAUCAACUAAUGAGAAGCUCAAAAUGAACAGAAAGCUCAACAUAGAAGAAUGUAGAAGAACGUGAAUAUGAACAGAAAGCGAUAGAGAUCUCAAUAAACUCAAAAGCAUUAUAGCUCAAAAUGAUAAAGGAGCUCAAUUUGGCCGCAAAAAGGUUAGCAAAGAGAGAAAGAGAAGUAAAAGGACACUUUCUUGUAGCAACUGAAGAGAUAUCGAACGAGAGGAAGGAACUUAAACGUCGAUCGACCUUAGAAAGUAUAAGAUCGGAGAGUACAGGCGUUGAUAGAAUUGCAAUUGCAAACAAGAGUAGAUUGAACCUAAACCAAAACCCCAUCCUGUUGCUCUCAGAUAGUCGUCUUCCUCGCUAGUUUCCCUAUGGAGAUCACAGUGUCUUUCUGCCAGGGAGAAGGAAAUCGCCAUGGCUGAUUAAGUUGGUUUGGGCCAGCCCAUUAGACAAAGCCCAAACGUGGCAUUAUGUUAUCUGAUAAAGUUGGCUCUCGGCCUGUUUUAGCAGUAGGCGUAGCUCUCCACGACAAUAGAAUAAUAAAGCAGCACUGUAUACUGUGUCUUUAUACACCGCACCCACCGCGGGAACCGUGGCCUCCACUCUGGACAGGCAAGCCAACUUGAUAUUUCAAUAUAAGUUGGUACUGGCUAGGGUUUUGGUUCUGGAAUUUUUUUUGGUUCAGAUUAGGCUUGUACCAAACAUAUGUAGAUAUCUGUGAGAUAUGGUGGAGACUCCAAAGCUCUGAGAAUCCAUGCCAAGGAGAAAUUCCCUCUCGAUUCUAAAACCCUCUUGCAGGUUCAUGGAGCCCUAGAUACAAGAAUUGGGGCGCCAAACUAUUUUAGUGCAAUGAUAAGACGCUUCUACCCAGAUUUGUCAGUCAGCCUUGGUGUGGGAUUGCAGUAUGAUAAACAUGAGGAGCUCACGUACAGAAUGCGUGCAAAAAAAUCAUUUCCUGUUACCGAUGAUGGUUUUUUAAGCUUCAAUAUUAAGGGAUGGUGCAAGAUUGAUAAAGAAUUUAAAGAGAGGAAGUCAAAUGGAGCUGCAGAAUUUGCUUGGAGCAUACCUAAUUUUCAGAAAGACCAAGAUGUUAGGUUCAAAGUUGGAUAUGAACUGGUUGAUAAGAUGCCUUACCUGCAGAUUAGGGAAAAUAAUUGGACCAUCAGUGCUGACAUUUAUGGUAGAUGGAACGUAAGAUUUGAUUUGUGAGUAUGAGUUGGCAUAUCUUUGGAGGUGAGAUGUUCUACUGUACACUGCUGAUUGUGUUUAUUUCAAUUUGGAUAGAUGCUUAGAACUGAUUAGUAAAAUAACAAUUGGCCACUAUGUCUUGGGUGGUUAAUUGGAUUUUCAUGGGCCACAAUGGCAAGGGCCCUUAAUUCGCAAACAACAACAAUUUUUCAUCCAUAGGAGAAGUCUAAAACUGUUGCUCAUAUUUUAGGCUGGACUGUUUAGUAAAGCUCAUGCAUCAGACGGUGUCCCUCUUUUAGGGUUGUUUAGGUUAAUGUGCAAUUCCAGUAAACAAAGGUGAAGGUUGCUUCAGUUAUUGUGAGAGCACAAGAGAAACAACUGUCUUUGUGCUCAACUCUAUUGUUCAUUUUGUUUCUCAAUUCCAUCGCUUUGGGAUGUGGAACAAAGUCCUCAAUUUUAUAUCUACUGUUAGCUUCUAUUCAUUGAAGAAUUUUCUUGCUGGAAACAUCUUUUAGGUCUUUUAUUUUCUUUGCCAUAUAUAAGAGCAGCUGACACUUUAUUUGGCGUUGGUGCAUAUGCAUCAAGAUAGAUACUUAGGUCUAUCAUUUCACUGACCAAGAUUUCAUAUUGUUGCUUGCAGGCAUGAUAUUUGAGGUAACAAUGAGUUAGUUUAUCCGAAUCUUCCAAAGAGUUCUGAGGAAAAUGUUGUUACAGUCUCUCUUGGGUGAUUUUGAAGGACAAACACCUAAAUUUGUAUUACCUAGGAACAACGAUUUGUCCCUCUUUUUAAUGUUAAGCCACAUUUUCUUGUUUCAAAUAUUGAUCAUUGUAUUUACUUGUUAUUUGAACGUUUAUAUGCCAUGCCAUCCUAUGAAUCAUUGUCUAACCAGAUGCCAAUAGGGAUGCCGUUGCACACAGCAUGUGAGAGAGGAGAUUAGUGGUCUAGAUAAUCAUAGACACGAGUUAGAAUGAACUGAUUCCAUGAAUAAAGACACGAGAUAUUGAGCGGACAUAUGAUGUCAACUUUUGUGGUUGCAAGUCGCUCGGAGCAAGCUUUGGACGAGAAUUUAACUGCUUUGCGGGGCAUAGCAAAAUUUGAUUUGCUGUUUAUGUAAACCAUAAUCAUUUGCCUCUGGGUAUUCCCGAGGCUAAACACCAUUUUAUGGCCAGACGGAGAUUGCCU